rnacentral:rRNA from 1 species
CCUACGGGAGGCAGCAGUGGGGAAUAUUGCACAAUGGGGGAAACCCUGAUGCAGCGACGCCGCGUGAGUGAAGAAGUAACUCGUUAUGUAAAGCUCUAUCAGCAGGGAAGAAAAUGACGGUACCUGAGUAAGAAGCCCCGGCUAACUACGUGCCAGCAGCCGCGGUAAUACGUAGGGGGCAAGCGUUAUUCGGAUUUACUGGGUGUAAAGGGAGCGUAGACGGCAGUGCAAGUCUGGAGUGAAAGGCGGGGGCUCAACCCCCGGACUGCUCUGGAAACUGUACGGCUGGAGUGCAGGAGAGGUAAGUGGAAUUCGUAGUGUAGCGGUGAAAUGCGUAGAUAUUAGGAGGAACGCCAGUGGCGAAGGCGGCUUACUGGACUGUAACUGACGUUGAGGCUCGAAAGCGUGGGGAGCGAACAGGAUUAGAUACCCCAGUAGUC